rnacentral:rRNA from 1 species
GGGAAGAAGGCCUCUGGGCUGUAAACCUCUUUUCUCAAGGAAGAAGAUCUGACGGUACUUGAGGAAUAAGCCACGGCUAAUUCCGUGCCAGCAGCCGCGGUAAUACGGGAGUGGCAAGCGUUAUCCGGAAUUAUUGGGCGUAAAGCGUCCGCAGGCGGCCUUUCAAGUCUGCUGUUAGAGCGUGGAGCUUAACUCCAUUAAGGCAGUGGAAACUGUUGGGCUUGAGUGUGGUAGGGGCAGAGGGAAUUCCCGGCGUAGCGGUGAAAUGCGUAGAUAUCGGGAAGAACACCAGUGGCGAAGGCGCUCUGCUGGGCCAUAACUGACGCUCAUGGACGAAAGCCAGGGGNAGCGAAAGGGAUUAGAUACCCCUGUAGUC